GACAGAGGUGCCGAGCGUUAGGCGGAAUCACUGGGCUUAAAGCGUGUGUAGGCGGAGUGCUAAGUACCUUGUGAAAUCCCACGGCUCACCCGUGGAACUGCUUGGUAUACUGGUUCUCUUGAGCCACCUAGGGGCGAGCGGAACAAGUGGUGGAGCGGUGAAAUGCGUAGAUAUCACUUGGAACGCCAAUGGUGAAAACAGCUCGCUGGGGGUGUGCUGACGCUGAGACACGAAAGCCAGGGGAGCGAACGGG
rnacentral:rRNA from 1 species